GGUUGCGUCUCGGCCUCGUCCAGACUGGCGAUGAGCGCCGAGAGGGGGAUGGGCUGGCGCGCGGCC
rnacentral:pre_miRNA from 1 species